rnacentral:rRNA from 1 species
AGAACGAACGCUGGCGGCAUGCCUAAUACAUGCAAGUCGAACGAACACUUCGGUGUUAGUGGCGCACGGGUGCGUAACGCGUGGGAAUCUGCCCUUGGGUUCGGAAUAACAGUUGGAAACGACUGCUAAUACCGGAUGAUAUCGAAAGAUCAAAGAUUUAUCGCCCAGGGAUGAGCCCGCGUAGGAUUAGCUAGUUGGUGAGGUAAAGGCUCACCAAGGCGACGAUCCUUAGCUGGUCUGAGAGGAUGAUCAGCCACACUGGGACUGAGACACGGCCCAGACUCCGUACGGGAGGCAGCAGUAGGGAAUAUUGGACAAGUGGGCGCAAGCCUGAUCCAGCAAGUCGCCGCGUGAGUGAGUAGAACGGUCCGUUAGGGUUAGUAAA